rnacentral:lncRNA from 1 species
AUGCUGCUGAGAACAAUGGAAUUGCUUCCUGUUUUACACCAUCCAUCCCAGAGAGGCACCCGUGUGUCAAGAAGGGACAACAGUAAUUCAUCUAGUGUGAUGAUUUCUGCAAGACCCUUUGUCAAGAGCCAGCAGGGAGAAGAGCUCUUUUAUGCCCCAGUGGGGCUUUACCAGGGCAUGCCGUUCCUCCACAGGAGCCCCCUGGGGUCCCAUGGCAAUCUGAAGCCUUCCAACUGCCUGAUGGACAGCCAGAUGCAUGUGAGGCUGACUGGCUUUGGGCUAUGGGAGCUCAAGUCUGGCCGGACCUGCAGAACAUACAAGGGACUGACAAACUAUUUGGGUAACUGCUGGCAGACCCCCUGCCUAUCAGCAGAGUGGUAACAGGGCGCCUGACCCCACCCUUUCCUGAAGCUCACUUGCACGUGUACCCACCCGCAGGAGCCCUUCCUCUGGAGCUGACUGAGUGGGGCUGUUCUAUUCACCCAAGGAAGCAAGAUCAAAAUAGCCUCCAGGGUGGUGAGUCCAUGGUGUGGUGUUAGAGUUAGGAGGCUGGGUCUCAUCCUGGUGGAGCUGGGUGGCCAGAAGCAAGUCACUUCCCUUCUCUUUAGGCCUCGGUAUUCUGAUGCAUCAUCAUCCUGUGCCCUCACUCAGCACGCACCAUCUGCAGGCACUUUAAAGACCAUGAGUGCCAUCCUCUUGGUGCUCCAGUUUCACUUGAGAAGCUUUAAAAAAUACGUAGGUGGCUAGGUCCCACCCCAGAUCAACUGAGUCAGAAUACCAGAAGGUGGAAUCCGGGCAUGGGCAACUGUAUGGUUUUUUAAAAGCUCUCAAAUGAUUCUCAUGCCUCGUUCUGGACAAGACAUUCUGCUGGUAGUCCAACCCUCCUUUGCGUUUGUAAAUGCAAACCGAGGCUUGGACUCUUCCUACUAGUCGUCCACAGUUAACUGAGCACCCUGAAGUCUCACCUCACUAGUAUCCCAAGGCCCUGAGCACCCCUCUCUGGAGCAGCCCCUUGCCAGGAGCCUGGCUGUGCCCAUAUGGGGAGUUUCUGUAACGUGGGACACCUGGAUGCCUUCCUGAAAAAGACACAGCGGGAAGUUCUGAAAACCUGCUAGUAGCUGCCCUAUUUCCCCACCCCUCAAUAUAUUUUCUUUUUUUUUUCUUUUUUUUUAAAUUUUUAUUUAUUUAUGAUAGUCACAGAGAGAGAGAGAGGCAGAGACAUAGGCCGAGGGAGAAGCAGGCUCCAUGCACCGGGAGCCUGAUGUGGGAUUCGAUCCUGGGUCUCUCCAGGCUCCAUGCACCGGGAGCCUGAUGUGGGAUCGCGCCCUGGGCCAAAGGCAGGCGCCAAACCACUGCGCCACCCAGGGAUCCCAAUAUAUUUUCUUUUAGUGAUUGUAACCUACAAUGAAAUAAGCCUAUAAACCUCACAGCAAAAAAUUAAUUGUAGGUCAUAUAAACUACCCGGAACACAGAGAUCUGUAAAGCCAGGAUGCGGCUUGGUGGUUCCCCAGGGCUGGGGGUAGGAGGAACAGGGAGCGGCUGCUUGAUGGCUAUAGGAUUUUACUUUGAGGCCAUGGACAUGUCUUGGAACUAGAUAGGGGGGCUGCUUGUAUAGUAUUGCGAAUGUACCACAUGCCACUGAAUUGCUUGCUUUCGUGGUUAAUUUUAUGUCCUAGGAAUCCUACCCCAAUAAAUUAGUUUCUAAAAUGUAGACAAGACAGAAAGGGCAAAGAAAAAUGAAGACGUCUUAUAAACUCACAGCCAGGUGUUAGCCACAGUUGACACGUUGUUGUGAGAGCCCUUCCUGGCUGUUUGCUCUGUAUUUG